GGCAUAUCCUUUUGAGUCGUCUCUCACCAACAAUGCGACUGCUGCCAUUGAUUGUCGUGCUUUGUGUGGUGUUGGUGACCACUGAAGGUGGCAGGUGUCGCAAAUUCGGCAAGGCGUGUGGAAAAUGGAACAGGGAUGUCUGCCGCUGGUGUUGGAGACCUCACAAGCGUCUCUGCUGUCUUCCGGGCGACACAUACGGUCGAAAAUGUUACAAAUUCGGCCAGGCGUGCGGUAGAUGGAACAGGGAUGUCUGCCGCUGGUGCCGGAAACCUCACAAGCGUCUCUGCUGUCGCUCGGGCGACACCUUCGAGGAAUGCAAAGCAAAAUGCCACUACCCAUAUCAAUGCCGCACAUUAGGAGGAACGUGUACCAAAGGAUGGUGCUGUCCUCUGUACUAUCUGUAGACGGCCGCCACGUCGAAGACACCGAUGUUUCAGGUCGAAAAUGUUACAAAUUCGGCCAGGCGUGCGGAAGAUGGAACAGGGAUGUCUGCCGCUGGUGCCGGAAACCUCACAAGCGUCUCUGCUGUCGCUCGGGCGACACCUUCGAGGAAUGCAAAGCGAAAUGUCACUACCCCUAUCAAUGCCGCACAUUAGGAGGAAGAUGCACCAAAGGAUGGUGCUGCCCUCUGUACUUUCUGUAGACGGCCGCCACGUCGAAGACAUCGAUGUUUCAGGUGGAAGGUGUCGCAAAUUCGGCAAGGCGUGUGGAAUAGGGAACAGGGAUGUGUGCCGCUGGUGUUGGAGGCCUCACAAGCGUCUCUGCUGUCUUCCGGGCGACACAUACGGUGAAUGCGGGAGAAAAUGCAGUUUCCCAAAUACCUGCAGCACACUAAACGGCAAAUGUCACAAAGGAUGGUGCUGCGUCUUCUGCAAAGGAAAACAUUGCAAGAAAGGCUAGCUGCACCACUUGCUGCCGGCUGCCGCUGUCGUCAAGGGAUAGGUAACGACUGCACUGACACCAGAUGUGAAGUGACUGCAUGCACAAAGAAGACCCAUGCUAUGCUGGUGGCGUAACAGCAAGGUCGCACGUAAUUAUUAACAGGUGUUUAUGCGAAGCGGACAUUUAGCUGCUUGUAGUUGGGCUUUACGUUGAAUACAAUUACGGAACCAACUAUUUGUUAGCAUCUGUUGUGCCAGCUCAAAAUGCAUCGGCGCCGGUCCGUAAAGCAUGGGUAUUGUGGCGUGCAUUGCGAACGACACCUGGUCAUCUGACAAACGGGUACUCGACGCCAUCAGGUACAAAGUAGGUCAUUUUCAGGUUGACAAAAUGCCCAUAUCAGCGUCCUAUGGAUCGACAGGUCCACACACAGACUCCUUUCCGCCUAAGGUUAUGUAAUUCGAUACACGUAAUUCGUUCACAUUGAAAACAUUGAAAAUUCCAGCACUCAGAACAUGGACGUUUUCUGAGGCGAUCGCCAGCUCCUCGAUCUCCUGAACCGUGACAUUCUGAGUAUUGAUUUCUCUAAUCCAAACUCUCUGAACUUUGACCUUGUACCAGACCUUUGACAUUGUAUCGGCCGAAAGGGCCUCGAACACCUGAACGUAAGCCAACUUAGCGCCGAAUAUUUCAACAUCGACAUUCUGUGUCUCGGCUUCCCGAACUCUCAGGUCUGGACCUUGGCCUUCUGAGCAUAACCUCCAGAUCCUUGAGCCAACCUUCAAGAAAAUCGUAGAAAAGCCUAAAGAUUAGAGUUUUUCAUGGUCUCUAACUUUGCCUGGAAAAUUUGGACAUUUUUUUUGCAUCUGUGCAAUUUUGUUCACUGGUGCUUCCAUUUGACAGAAAACUAGGCAUAUUUUUCUCGUUAGGUAAGUAACAAGUUCGAUUAUCAAGGCUUUCGGGGAGGUUUUCGCUCCCUGAAUAUCGAUUUUCCAUCAGAUUCCUUCAGCCAGACUAAUGAGCAUGGGUUGGUCACUAGAUGAGUCAACUUCGAAGAAAAACGUAAGGACCACCCUAUAGCCAUCAUAUCUUCCAACUAUUCCAACCUACCUGUUGACAAGAUGCGUGAUGAUCAUUUUCACAUUCCAUUUCCAUCGUUUGUCUUGGGGUUUAUUAGUGUUUUCAUUUGAUAUGCAGCGCGUCCUGCGCAUGCUGUAACACCGUUACACAAGCGAAACAUUCUCUUAGAUAGUUUUCCUACGUGAUUUCGCCGUUCUAAAGAUGGCCCAUAUGGUUUCUGCAGCCAUCAAAACGAGCAUCGGUCGACGGUCUAAUAAAUUGCUAUAAAAAAGCCCACAGGCAGCCCCAUGGACAAAGCGUUUUGCCUAUCGUGUACAACCUCCACUCUAGGCAAGGUAGGUCAUAUUUGUAAGCAUCGCUGCCUUUGCAUCAACAGGAGUUUCGUCGAGAUGAUGCAGCUGGCCAGAAUUUUGACUUCCUCGGGGAGAUAUUGGUCCGUAAAGUGCAUGAAUGGUGCGAAAUCUAGGCUGAAUCUGGGGUAAGAUACGCUAAAAUAUUGUUCCAGGCUAUACAUUGAUAGGAUAAUACGGCAAUUUAUGUAUCAUUCAUAACUAAGUAUACAACGCUGAGCAUUUAACGUAAAAGCUGUCUACUGGAUGUCACUCUAUAGAAUCCAAUUUCAAAACAAACAGAAGUGUUCCACACUGUUGUUUUGACCUGAACUAGCUAUCUUGAGGACCUUUUGAUACUGCUCACAAUCCUGCCCUUUUUAAGACAUUAGCCUCUCUAGUUUCUGAACUAUACGCCCACGACAGUGGGAAAGCUGCAUCGGGCAGAGUAUUUCAAGGUCAUCUUGGUAUCCAUGACGUAGCCAUAUCGUCAUUCAAAUUCUGUCAUUCCAUAAGCCAUGCGGUGAUGAAUACGCGCACGGGUGACCGGUUGGACACCCUUCGCUCGGGUGGGAGUCAAUUUGACCCUGUGAAAUCCCAAGAACUAAGAGAGAAUACACAAAACUCACAGGCUGUAUUGACCUAUACGUGAACUCACUUAGAUUAAAUAUUGAGGCUCCUAGGUCAUGAACUUUGAGUGAAAUCGGGUCAAGCAAUGUCAAAUUCCAGGGUAGUCUCCAAAGGGCUCCUGGAAUAUAGAUAACUGUUCUAAGCAAAACCUCACAUGCCCAUUUCACGUAAGUGACCUUGUUUGACAUUUUAAAGAUCAUGGUGACCAAAAUCAUCCAAGACCGCCUUAACUUUUGCAUUGGGAUAAACGACAAAGAUUGCGCCAGGCAUAUGUUCCUAAAAACAAAAUGCUAACUUGGGUCAUUCUAGGUCACUGACAUAUCCAGACCUUACAGAAGUACAUGGAAGAUGUAUAAUACGGUUCCAGUUAUCAAUAACUUCGAAAUAAGCACCAGGAACUACCCCAUACAGCAAACGCUAGAGUAAUAAAACAU
rnacentral:lncRNA from 1 species